GUGUCAGCCGCCGCGGUAAUACGGAGGGUGCGAGCGUUGUCCGGAAUCAUUGGGCGUAAAGGGCGCGUAGGUGGCCCGGUCAGUCGAUGGUGAAAGCGCGGGGCUCAACUCCGCGUCGGCCGUCGAUACUGCUGGGCUUGAGCACUGUAGAGGCAGGCGGAAUUCCGGGUGUAGCGGUGGAAUGCGUAGAGAUCCGGAAGAACACCGGUGGCGAAGGCGGCCUGCUGGGCAGUGGCUGACACUGAGGCGCGACGGCGUGGGGAGCAAACAGGAUUAGAUACCCUCGUAGUCC
rnacentral:rRNA from 1 species